UUAAACGAGGUCAAUAAUUCUCAUCAAGACCGACGAACCGGGCCAAUCAAGUGAUCCAGAUCCACACCGUUGACAAUUUUGCUUUGACUCUUUUGUGAUUUGUGAAGGAAGGAGAAGGAGCGAAGGGGAUGGUGAGCGAAGUAGCCAGAGACGGUUAAAGCUUUCUCAAUGGCAACUACCUUCUUCACCCUCGCCUCGCUGUCACUACCGUCGUCUUCUCGUGUUUCCAUUGGCGGCGCUCCGAUUCGCGACCACCGUUCUCCGAACCAAAUCAGGUUGUUGCCACCUCUCAAAUGCUCCUCUUCGGAGCCGGAAACUGCCAUGCAUGCUCCCUCCGACCGAACUCACAAGUUGAUCUCCGGUGUCGCCGGCAUGGAUUCCUCGAAACCUUGUACCUCACUUACCUUAAGCUCACCGGCGCAGACGCCUUUUGCCCCGUCGGCGGCGGCUCCUGCUCCAAAAUACUCGACAGUGAUUACGCCGUCGUUUUCGGUAUUCCUCUUGCCUUGUUUGGGAUGGCUGCGUAUGGUUUAGUUGCUGCACUUGGUGUUCAAUUGGCUUCGAAGAAUUUGCGUUUUGGGAUUGAGAAAUCAACUGCUCAAGUAGUGUUGCUUGGAGCCACAACCUCCAUGGCUGCUGCUAGUGCGUAUUUUUUGUACAUUCUAACCACCAGAUUCUCUGACUCGUCUUGCUCCUACUGUUUAAUUUCGGCUUUCUUGUCCUUCACCUUGUUCUAUGUUACAGUCAAGGAUAUUGGAUUGCAAGAGGUGUCUAAACAACUGGGUAUGCAACUGCUUGUUGCUAGCUUAGUGAUUCUCUCGCUGAACACAUCCUACAGCAAUUCUAAAUCUGCCUCCUCAAGCCUGGCUGAAAAUGAUCUUCCAUACUUUGCAACUGAGAUUACAACUCCGUUAAGCCCUUUUGCACUAUCUCUAGCAUGGCAUUUGCACUCCAUAGGAGCUAAAAUGUAUGGUGCUUUCUGGUGUUUGCACUGUCAGGAACAAAAAGAGAAGGUAGUGCUCUAGAAACUCCAACCAGAAGCUUGGGUUUGUCACUUUGUCUUCAAGAUUAAAAAACUGAGGAGCAAGAAAUCAAUUGUGGAGAUGAAGUUCAAUGGGAAAGCCAAGGGCCAGUGGAAUAGAGGGCAAAAGCUGAUGAUGAAUGGGAGCAAGAAAACGUAACACGAGAUGAAGAAUUAGAGAGAAGAAAACUGGUGGCUCAAGGGCAAAAGACGAAUAGAGGAAAGCAACAAAAACUUGGAGAAACCCACAAAAGCAACGAGAAGACAGAAGCAAAAAUGAAGUACUUGAGAUUAAGAAUUACAGUGGAAGAGAUGACAUAGAUACGGGCUGUUGCAAAUAGGAGGUGAAAAUUGAGGGAAACUCUAUGUUCGACCUUAGGGGAGAACCAAGCACUGAACUGAUGGCAACAAUGGAGGUUUCAGGUUUGGGUAGUGCCUUCAACCCACCACAGAAGGUCGCAACCAUGUGUGGUAGUUCAGUUUGCAACAGAGCCAUGGGUUCUUUUCAGUGUAACUACACAGGCUCUGAUGCUCUGUUUCAUAGCAAAAAGUUCCAUAGAAAACAGAGCACUAAAGGAGCAUUGGGGCAUUCUCAUGUUUGUCUUUGGCCUGAUAGGAUUGGAAACUGCUCUUGGAUUGCUGAGUGGAAUUGGCUUAGUCAUCGUGCUUCAAUUAAGUAAAUAGCUUGUAACUUUUGAAAUGAAGUUAAUUCCUGGCCUUUAGCACCUGCAAUGGGCAAAUACUAAAUAAAACAAAAAUCAUCAUGGUCUCUGUUAUGCAUUUCUCUACCUUGAAAAGUUGAAACUGUUGUCAACUCAGUGGGAACUGGAGAGUGAAUGACUUGUGUAAGAUCUGAUUAGGUUUUAGGAUCAAACUUAGUAACGUAACUUUCAAUCAAGAACUCCCUAUCAUAUGACUACUCGGGAAGAUCUUCACCCAGGUUUCAGGAGUAGUUGUCAAUGGAUUCAUAAAUAUCAUGGUUUAUUUCUUCAUGAAAACUUUCCCUAUUCUUUCUAGUGUCAUUAGAUUCCUCUGCUUUGGAUCCUAAAAACUAAUAUUUAUUCAUUGAGUUGAUAGUUUUUUUAUUUA